rnacentral:rRNA from 1 species
GUCUACAGACAUGCCACCCUGAACACGCCCGAUCUCAUCCGAUCUCGGAAGCUAAGCAGGGUUAGUACUUGGAUGGGAGACCACCUAGGAAGACCGGGUACUGUAGGCU